rnacentral:rRNA from 1 species
UGCCAGCCGCCGCGGUAAUACGAAGGGUGCUAGCGUUGUUCGGAAUUACUGGGCGUAAAGAGCAUGUAGGCGGAUGAAUUAGUCAGAGGUGAAAGCCCCGAGCUCAACUUGGGAACUGCCUUUGAAACCCCGGAACUUGAGUAUGGGAGAGGGAAGUGGAAUUUCUGGUGUGGCGGUGAAAUGCGUAGAUAACAGAAGGAAUACCGGUGGCGAAGGCGACUGUCUGGGCCAAUACUGACGCUGAGGUACGAAAGCGUGGGUAGCGAACAGGAUUAGAUA